UACGGAAGGGGGCUAGCGUUGCUCGGAAUCACUGGGCGUAAAGCGCACGUAGGCGGUCUUUUAAGUCAGGGGUGAAAUCCUGGAGCUCAACUCCAGAACUGCCUUUGAUACUGAGAGACUUGAGUCCGGGAGAGGUGAGUGGAACUGCGAGUGUAGAGGUGAAAAUUCGUAGAUAUUCGCAAGAACACCAGUGGCGAAGGCGGCUCACUGGCCCGGUACUGACGCUGAGGUGCGAAAGCGUGGGGAGCAAACAGG
rnacentral:rRNA from 1 species